rnacentral:rRNA from 1 species
UUGCCAAAGUGCAAAGGUGGAAUGGGUUUCAGAGACAUGCGUGCUUUCAACCAGGCACUACUAGCAAAGCAAGCAUGGAGACUUAUCGAAUCACCGGAUAGAUUAUGUGCACGACUGCUAAAGGCAAAGUAUUUCCCUAAUGAGAGUCUCAUUGAUAUUGUAUUUACAGGAAGCUCUUCAGCGGUGUGGAAGGGCAUAGCUCACGGUCUGGAGUUAGUAAAAAAGGUAUAA